UGCCCCGCGGAGCGACGGGGAAAGGAGCCCGGCCUAUCCCCCAAGCUGGCGGCUUGUUUUCCUUCUACAGGAGGACGGAAGGGAAGGAGAGAGCGCCUGCUCCCGGGACUGACCUUUGCUCUAUAAACUGUUAAAGCCUGAGCUUGGUAGGCAGGGGCCAGAUGGGAGAGACCCACAGGACCAAAGGCUUUUCCACUUCUCAUUCCCUCUGCCUGCGAUGAUAUUCUACAGAUAUUUUGAUGGCUAGCUCUUCAUCAGUUUCAAGCAUUUACAUAAAGUUCACUUUUUUGCUUCCACUUUUGCACUCAUAGGAGCCAGACAAGAAAUUCAGUCAUGCCUCUAGAAAGACCACAUGAAGAAGCACCAAGAAGAGUGAGAAGCCCUGAGACUACGUGGAAAGAUGGAGAUGCCUAGUCCUUUCCACUUCCUCAUUACCCACAGCUGAUGUGAGAGCUGAAUUUACCCACAAGUGUGGCCAGCAGAAGAAUCAGAAGCUGAGCCCAGCUCAGACUGCAAACUUGUAAGCAAAUAAAAUAGUUGUUUCAAGCC